GGAAGUAAAAAUCGUAACAAGGUCUCCGUUGGUGAACCAGCGGAGGGAUCAUUACAGAGUUGCAAAACUCCCUAAACCAUUGUGAACGUUACCUAUACCGUUGCUUCGGCGGGCGGCCCCGGGGUUUACCCCCCGGGCGCCCCUGGGCCCCACCGCGGGCGCCCGCCGGAGGUCACCAAACUCUUGAUAAUUUAUGGCCUCUCUGAGUCUUCUGUACUGAAUAAGUCAAAACUUUCAACAACGGAUCUCUUGGUUCUGGCAUCGAUGAAGAACGCAGCGAAAUGCGAUAAGUAAUGUGAAUUGCAGAAUUCAGUGAAUCAUCGAAUCUUUGAACGCACAUUGCGCCCGCCAGCAUUCUGGCGGGCAUGCCUGUUCGAGCGUCAUUUCAACCAUCAAGCCCCCGGGCUUGUGUUGGGGACCUGCGGCUGCCGCAGGCCCUGAAAAGCAGUGGCGGGCUCGCUGUCGCACCGAGCGUAGUAGCAUACAUCUCGCUCUGGUCGCGCCGCGGGUUCCGGCCGUUAAACCCACCCUUUUUUA
rnacentral:rRNA from 1 species